rnacentral:lncRNA from 1 species
CACACUUUAUUUUAUCUCUGGAGCCAUCAUAUGUUUCUGUUCUCACUAUUGCUACAGUCAAAUUACUUUUCAUUUUUCUGCGUUUGAGUCUUUCCAAGAGGUCAUUUGUUGUUCUCAACAGAUGUGCCAAGACUCACAUCCUUCCCUCCUCACACCUCCAGCCUCUCUCACACUCACAGGCUUGGGAAGAGAGCCCAGAACGGUGCUGUGUCCUAGACCAUGCAUUUCGGCAGGGCCACACAUGAAAUGAAGCCUUGGAGGAAAGCACAGGCUCUGCCUGGCAGCUCAGAGUGAGAAUUUCUCCCCCGUGUGUGAAAAGAGGGGUUGCAGGAAACCAUUUCCACACUUGUGACACGUCAGUGUUCCAUCACACCAGAAAUGCACACAGGAGAGACGUCCUUGGCACCAGCAGUCAGGGGGAAUUGGGACUUUUCAGAGCAGCAGUGGGGUACUGCAUUCAUGGGCCCCUUCCUCACACAGAGUGUGCAUGGCAGAGAGAAUCCAGGAAGAAAAGGCAAAUAUUUCUCGUGAGAAACUCCUGGUGCUGCAAAGGCAGCUCAGGAGGAGACUGGGAAAGCUGUCAGCACAGCUGCACAAGGAAGAUAAAGAGACAGGAACCACUGCCUGAGCAUAUCUACAACACAUCAAACAUCACCGAGUCAAUCAAAGCACCAUUAAUCCAUUGGACUCUGACCCUUCCUCUCGGAUGCUGCCAGAUCCAUCAGUUGGGGAUCAGAGGGAGAAAAGCAGGUUCUGGUCACCAGGAGAGCUAAACAAGAGCCUCUUCCAGCUCCCUGCCCUGCCUGGGAAUCUGGGCAGGCAGCUCAGUGCAUUUAGGCCACCCAAAAGUGUUGUUUAAAUGGGAUUUUAAGGAAUGAUGGCUUUGCCACUGGAGGAAUCAAGGCACAAAAAGUGCUGCUAGUACAAAAUCCUGUAGCACUGCUUUCCCUUCUCUUGCCUCCUCCAUCCCAGCAGUGUUCCACAGCUAGGAAUGUGAUCCCUGGGGGGAAAAAAACACCAGAUGACCAACAAAACAAAACAGACUCAAUAGUCAUUCAGCUUUACUUGAAUUUGGAGAGAAACAAUCAAGAGCCAGACACGCAAUUCCUAAAGAAAUGAGGGAAUAUCUGUGAGUUUUCUCUGCACCCUCUCCCUUGGGAUCAUUUUAAUAACUUCAGCUGAGAGCUGUGAUCUGUGCACGCCAGGGGAAAGGCUGCCCAUGCCUCAGACAGCUGGAUUCCAGCCCUUGCUGAGGAAUAAAAAUGCCAUUUUCCAAGAGAAGAUGUUGUCU